rfam:Larimichthys crocea isolate SSNF unplaced genomic scaffold scaffold597, whole genome shotgun sequence.
ACAACGGCUCUUUUAAGAGCCACAUACACUGACUUAAAGAGUACAG